AGCCGACCUGAGAGGGUGAUCGGCCACACUGGGACUGAGACACGGCCCAGACUCCUACGGGAGGCAGCAGUAGGGAAUCUUCGGCAAUGGACGAAAGUCUGACCGAGCAACGCCGCGUGAGUGAAGAAGGUUUUCGGAUCGUAAAGCUCUGUUGUAAGAGAAGCGGUAUCUUACCAGAAAGGGACGGCUAACUACGUGCCAGCAGCCGCGGUAAUACGUAGGUCCCGAGCGUUGUCCGGAUUUAUUGGGUGUAAAGCGAGCGCAGGCGGUUUGAUAAGUCUGAAGUUAAAGGCUGUGGCUCAACCAUAGUUCGCUUUGGAAACUGUCAAACUUGAGUGCAGAAGGGGAGAGUGGAAUUCCAUGUGUAGCGGUGAAAUGCGUAGAUAUAUGGAGGAACACCGGUGGCGAAAGCGGCUUUCUGGUCUGUAACUGACGUUGAGGCUGGAAAGCGUGGGGAGCGAACAGGAUUAGAUACCCUGGUAGUCCACGCCGUAAACGAUGAGUGUUAGGUGUUGGCAGUCCCGCAGCUAACCCAUUAAGCACUCCCCCUGGGGAGUACGACCGCAAGGUUGCAACUCAAGGAAUUGACGGA
rnacentral:rRNA from 1 species